AUUGAUGUUGUUGAAGAGGGUGUAGUUUCUGGUCCUCGGGCUGGACUCUGGAAGGAGGUUGAUGAAUUCCAAGUACUUGUUCAUUCUGACACCUGCAAGAGCUUGGUCCACAUCUUUUUUGCUCAGCGUGGAACCACAAAGGUUCCUGGAAUUACUGACAAAGGCUUGAUGCCUAGACGAGUGAAUAAGGUUGCAGUGCUUGGCGGAGGACUAAUGGGUUCUGGCAUAGCAACUGCACUGAUCCUUAGUAAUUACCAGGUUAUCCUGAAAGAAGUAAAUGAAAAGUUCUUGCAAGCUGGAAUUGAAAGAGUCAGAGCUAACCUACAAAGCCGUGUCAAGAAAGGAAAAAUGUCUCAAGAGAAGUUUGAAAAAACCUCUUCUCUUCUUAAGGGUGUUCUUGAUUAUGAAAGCUUCAAAGAUGUGGAUAUGGUCAUAGAGGCUGUUAUUGAAAAUAUUUCUUUGAAGCAACAAAU
rnacentral:misc_RNA from 1 species